rnacentral:rRNA from 1 species
GAGUUUGAUCCUGGCUCAGAAUGAACGCUGGCGGCGUGCUUUACACAUGCAAGUCGAGCGAGGCGUGUAGCAAUACACAGUCGAGCGGGCGAACGGGUGAGUAACGCGUGGAUUAUCUGCCCUGAGGUGGGGGAUAACCCGGGGAAACUCGGGCUAAUACCGCAUAGGACCGUGAGGUCAAAGGGGGGUCGCAAGAUCUCUCGCCAUAGGAGGAGUCCGCGUCCGAUUAGCUAGUUGGUAGGGUAAUGGCCUACCAAGGCGACGAUCGGUAGCCGGCCUGAGAGGGUGAUCGGCCACACUGGAACUGAGACACGGUCCAGACUCCUACGGGAGGCAGCAGUGGGGAAUUUUGCGCAAUGGGCUAACGCCUGACGCAGCAACGCCGCGUGGAGGAUGAAGGUCCUUGGAUUGUAAACUCCUGUCAGCAGGGAAAAAGCAACUUGGCCUCAUACGCUAAGAAGUUGAUUGUACCUGCAGAGGAAGCCCGGCUAACUCUGUGCCAGCAGCCGCGCAGU